UGGGGAAUUUUGGACAAUGGGGGAAACCCUGAUCCAGCCAUCCCGCGUGUGCGAUGAAGGCCUUCGGGUUGUAAAGCACUUUUGGCAGGAAAGAAACGUCAUGGGAUAAUACCCCGUGAAACUGACGGUACCUGCAGAAUAAGCACCGGCUAACUACGUGCCAGCAGCCGCGGUAAUACGUAGGGUGCAAGCGUUAAUCGGAAUUACUGGGCGUAAAGCGUGCGCAGGCGGUUCGGAAAGAAAGAUGUGAAAUCCCAGAGCUCAACUUUGGAACUGCAUUUUUAACUACCGGGCUAGAGUGUGUCAGAGGGAGGUGGAAUUCCGCGUGUAGCAGUGAAAUGCGUAGAUAUGCGGAGGAACACCGAUGGCGAAGGCAGCCUCCUGGGAUAACACUGACGCUCAUGCACGAAAGCGUGGGGAGCAAACAGG
rnacentral:rRNA from 1 species